rnacentral:rRNA from 1 species
UGAGGAAUAUUGGUCAAUGGACGAGAGUCUGAACCAGCCAAGUAGCGUGAAGGAUGACGGUCCUACGGAUUGUAAACUUCUUUUAUAAGGGAAUAAACCCUCCCACGUGUGGGAGCUUGUAUGUACCUUAUGAAUAAGCAUCGGCUAACUCCGUGCCAGCAGCCGCGGUAAUACGGAGGAUGCGAGCGUUAUCCGGAUUUAUUGGGUUUAAAGGGAGCGCAGACGGGUCGUUAAGUCAGCUGUGAAAGUUUGGGGCUCAACCUUAAAAUUGCAGUUGAUACUGGCGUCCUUGAGUGCGGUUGAGGUGUGCGGAAUUCGUGGUGUAGCGGUGAAAUGCUUAGAUAUCACGAAGAACUCCGAUUGCGAAGGCAGCACACUAAUCCGUAACUGACGUUCAUGCUCGAAAGUGUGGGUAUCAAACAGG